GUUGAAACACCAGUUUCCGUACGAUCACCGAAAGUUAAGCAACAUCGAGUCUGGCCAGUACCUAGAUGGGGACUGCUUGGGAAUACCAGGUACU